CACAGGCACGAUAAUCAGGCUGUGUUUAUAUAAAACACAGCUAAAGAACUGCUGAAACAAAAUUAAAACCCAUCAACAAUGGCGAAUUUAGAGGCCACAGUAGUGAUUCCAAAGGUGAUCACAUUCCUCUCCUCUCUCCUCCAACAAGUAGCGGAAUCGAACGAUGUUACCCAUCAGCUAUACCCACAAAGGAUCUCGGUGUUCCAUGGCCUCACCAGGCCUAACAUAUCUAUUCAAAACUAUUUGGAAAGAAUCUUCAAGUACGCCAA
rnacentral:misc_RNA from 1 species